GCCCAGGUGGUGGAAUUGGCAUACACGCUAGGUUGAGGGCCUAGGCUUCUUAGGAGCGUGCGGGUUCAAGUCCCGCCCUGGGCA
rnacentral:tRNA from 1 species